GGCUAAUGAUGACAAAUAUAAGGCUUGUUUCUCAAAACAUUCGCAGUGGCCGCCUGAGAGCUUUCGCCUUCGCCGGGCUUGAGAGCUUGUGCUGUUCCAAUCCUUCCUUGGAUGUCUGAGGCU
rnacentral:snoRNA from 1 species